GGGUUGUGAGGUUAAGCGACUAAGCGUACACGGUGGAUGCCCUGGCAGUCAGAGGCGAUGAAGGACGUGCUAAUCUGCGAUAAGCGUCGGUGAGGUGAUAUGAACCGUUAUAACCGGCGAUUUCCGAAUGGGGAAACCCAGUGUGUUUCGACACACUAUCAUUAACUGAAUCCAUAGGUUAAUGAGGCGAACCGGGGGAACUGAAACAUCUAAGUACCCCGAGGAAAAGAAAUCAACCGAGAUUCCCCCAGUAGCGGCGAGCGAACGGGGAGGAGCCCAGAGCCUGAAUCAGUGUGUGUGUUAGUGGAAGCGUCUGGAAAGGCGUGCGAUACAGGGUGACAGCCCCGUACACAAAAAUGCACAUAUUGUGAGCUCGAUGAGUAGGGCGGGACACGUGGUAUCCUGUCUGAAUAUGGGGGGACCAUCCUCCAAGGCUAAAUACUCCUGACUGACCGAUAGUGAACCAGUACCGUGAGGGAAAGGCGAAAAGAACCCCGGCGAGGGGAGUGAAAAAGAACCUGAAACCGUGUACGUACAAGCAGUGGGAGCCUCUUAAUGGGGUGACUGCGUACCUUUUGUAUAAUGGGUCAGCGACUUAUAUUCUGUAGCAAGGUUAACCGAAUAGGGGAGCCGAAGGGAAACCGAGUCUUAACUGGGCGUUAAGUUGCAGGGUAUAGACCCGAAACCCGGUGAUCUAGCCAUGGGCAGGUUGAAGGUUGGGUAACACUAACUGGAGGACCGAACCGACUAAUGUUGAAAAAUUAGCGGAUGACUUGUGGCUGGGGGUGAAAGGCCAAUCAAACCGGGAGAUAGCUGGUUCUCCCCGAAAGCUAUUUAGGUAGCGCCUCGUGAAUUCAUCUCCGGGGGUAGAGCACUGUUUCGGCAAGGGGGUCAUCCCGACUUACCAACCCGAUGCAAACUGCG
rnacentral:rRNA from 1 species